UACGUAGGGGGCAAGCGUUGUCCGGAAUCAUUGGGCGUAAAGCGCGUGUAGGCGGCUCGAUAAGUCUGCUGUGAAAGUUCAGGGCUCAACCCUGAAAUGCCGGUGGAAACUGUCGAGCUAGAGUCCGGAAGAGGCGAGUGGAAUUCCUGGUGUAGCGGUGAAAUGCGCAGAUAUCAGGAGGAACACCGGUGGCGAAGGCGGCGAUCUGGGUCGAUACUGACGCUGAGGUGCGAAAGCGUGGGGAGCAAACAGG
rnacentral:rRNA from 1 species